UGUGUGUGAUGAAUAUUUUAAUUGACCAUUGCUAUUGUUAUUUGUGAAAAGAGAAACAAAAAACAAUAUUUUUUCAGCAAUAAAUGUCCACAUUUGAAAAAAUAGAAAUAGAAGAAGAGAAUGCUAAAACUGCACUGUAGAAGAAAAAAAAAUGAUUGUCGACCUUGUUAUAAAGAAAAAAAGACGAAGCAAAGAAAAAAAAUUGAGCUAAAAUCAAAUGAACUUGAAUGAUGAAGAUUUUUUUUUUCGUUUGACUUCAUUCUUUCAAUGAGAUAGUCUCGAAUGUGAAUGGUCGAAAAGAGAACGUGAAAUGAAAUUUAGAAAAAAAAAGAAAGACUGGCUAUUCUUUCAAAAAAAAUGAUUGGCCUCUUUUAGUCGCUUCGAUGGCCACCACCACCACCACCACCACCACCACCACCACCAUCAUCAUCAUCAUCAUCAAAACAAAGACAUUGGAGAAUGUAACCAAUGUCUGAAACGAGAAAAAAAAAUUACUCCAAUCAUCUUAGACUAUCUCAGAACCGAAAUUAUUUGUGGCUGUACAUUUUAUUUAGAUAGAAUGGUCCACAAAGUAGCUCAUCGUUUGAAAAAAAAACAACUAUGGGCAAAACCCGAAUAAACCGAACAUUCGAUGAUGAUGAUGGUGGUGGUCGAAUACCUUUCUCUAUAAUAAUAACAAUGUAAUGGCCACUCAAUGAAUCGAACAACACCAACAACAACAAGCCUCAAGCAGCAUCAUUCUCGAAAUAGUU